rnacentral:rRNA from 1 species
UGGGGAAUAUUGCACAAUGGGCGCAAGCCUGAUGCAGCCAUGCCGCAUGUAUGAAGAAGGCCUUCGGGUUGUAAAGUACUUUCAGCGGGGAGGAAGGGAGUAAAGUUAAUACCUUUGCUCAUUGACGUUACCCGCAGAAGAAGCACCGGCUAACUCCGUG